GGGCCGCUAGCUCAGAUGGUAGAGCACUUGACUUUUAAUCAAGUUGUCCGGGGUUCGAUUCCCCGGCGGCUCA
rnacentral:tRNA from 1 species